rnacentral:rRNA from 1 species
AGGAUGAACGCUGGCGGCGUGCCUAAUACAUGCAAGUCGAGCGGUAAGGCCACUUCGGUGGUACACGAGCGGCGGACGGCUGAGUAACACGUAGGAACGUACCCCAAACUGAGGGAUAAGCACCAGAAAUGGUGUCUAAUACCGCAUGUGCUCUUCGGAGUAAAGCUACGGCGGUUUGGGAACGGCCUGCGCAAGAUUAGCUUGUUGGUGAGGUAAUAGCUCACCAAGGCGACGAUCUUUAGCUGGUCUGAGAGGAUGACCAGCCAGACUGGAACUGAGAACGGUCCAGACUCCUACGGGAGGCAGCAGUGGGGAAUUUUGCGCAAUGGGGGAAACCCUGACGCAGCAACGCCGCGUGGAGGAUGAAGCCCCUUGGGGUGUAAACUCCUUUCGAUCGGGAAGAUAAUGACGGUACCGAUAUAAGAGCCCGGCUAACUUCGUGCCAGCAGCCGC